rnacentral:misc_RNA from 1 species
UGGUGCUACUGGAGUAAUCGUCUGGUAAUUUUAUAAUAUCCAUUUAUUGUUCAAUAUUUUGCUUUGACAUUUUAUGCCAAAGGUCAUUGUUUUGCUAGAUUAUCACGUGGAUAUAUUUUUUGGAACCUAAUUGUAUAUUUCGCUAGUUACAUUUAUGCUAGUAAUAUCAGUGAUUCUUCACUUCAGCAGUAUUAGGUGUUUCAUUAACACACAA